rnacentral:lncRNA from 1 species
AUUACCUUCUCCUUACAAACCUCUAGCGGAAGUUGAUGGUACUGAACAAUAGAAGGUGGUGCAUCAGGGAUCAGCAGACAGCUGCCAGGCGAACAGGGGAGUGCACGGGCCAGGCAGGGGUUGCCCGUGAGCCCGCCACGGGAGGACUGGAUUUCUGGGCAGACAAGGAGGCGAGACUGACAGUCACUUCUGAGUGGUCCCCUCGGUGCUGUCACCGAACUUGAGACAUGUAAUCGUGAUUUCAUCAGAGCCUUGGUAGUUGCUACUGUCUCUGUUCUCUU